rnacentral:rRNA from 1 species
GUGCAGCAGGCGCGAAACCUUCGCAAUGCAGGAAACUGCGACGAGGGAACUCCAAGUGCCUACGCUCAGCGUAGGCUGUUCUCAAGCCUAGAAAGCUUGAGGAGUAAGGGCUGGGUAAGACGGGUGCCAUCUGUGGUAGCAGUCAAUAGAUUCGAUUUGUUACUGCAAGGCAUAAGCCGCGCGGUAAUACCCGCAGCCCAAGUGGUGGCCGCUUUUAUGGGCCUAAAGCGUCCGUAGCCGGCCCGGUAAAUGCCUGGGUAAAUCGUGGAGCCCAACUUCACGAAUUCCGGGUAGACUGCCGAGCUCGGGACCGGAAGAGGGGAG